rnacentral:tRNA from 1 species
AGGAGUUUAGGAUACUUACUAAACCAUAGACCUUCAAAGUCUAAAAAAGAGGCGCAAGCCCUCUAACUCCUG